rnacentral:rRNA from 1 species
UACGUAGGGGGCAAGCGUUGUCCGGAAUUAUUGGGCGUAAAGAGCGCGUAGGCGGUCCGGUAAGUCGGUUGUGAAAGUCGGGGGCUCAACCCUCGGAUGCCGAUCGAUACUGCCGGGCUAGAGUCCGGAAGAGGCGAGUGGAAUUCCUGGUGUAGCGGUGAAAUGCGCAGAUAUCAGGAGGAACACCAAUGGCGAAGGCAGCUCGCUGGGACGGUACUGACGCUGAGGUGCGAGAGCGUGGGGAGCGAACCGG